GCACUCAAUCAGGGCGAUCCUAGGCUCGCACGGCGGCUGUCCACCGUUUCCCUCCGCCCACCGCGCCGACGCCCGGGCGCCCACGCCACCCUUUCCCCGACCACCCUCUGCGCAGCCCGGGCCCAAGCGGCGGGACGCAGGCUCUCGGACCCGGAGCCGGUUCCCGCUUCUCUCGCUAGAGGGCAGACGGGGCCCGCUCAAAGCCCUCAGACCGAAGGGCACGCGCAGCCGGUAGAGAUCCCGCAAUCGGAGCCGCACUCCGGGGCUGGGCUCCGCGACCAACGUGGGGUCCGAGAUCAGAGCCCGGGAGCGCGACGCACGGCAGACCCAGAGGACCCGGGAGGAACGGCCAGCAAUCUCGGGGUGCGCACAGCGCACGGGCACCAGGUGGAGGCGGCGCCGGCACGGCAGUUCGGGGACCCGGUUGGGCGCCAAGAGAGCUGCGCGAGGACACACGGGACGCGGCUAGGUGCCCGCCUGGGAGCAGCGGAGCGGCUGGCACUCACCUGGGCUCGGGUCGCCUUCGGCGGGCGCGGGCUUCCCGCGGGAUCCCCGGUCCUUCUUCUUGCCCUUCCCCUUGCCUCUGCCUUCUUUGCGCUCAGACAUCUCGCUAAAGAUGAGCGCUCUACGCGGACCCGGCUGGGCGACGGUGACGCGCGACAAGUUUGGUCCAAGGGCUUGCAGAAAAGUUUGUCCCGGGAGGGAAGAGCCAGUGGCCGGGCUGCGCGGGGGCGUCGCCUGUCGCCUGCAGGGAGCGGCGUGGACUCGAUCACCUGGAGCGCCCGCUACGUCUGGGGGUGUCUCGGGGCUACUCUUGUGUCCCGGGUCCUGCCGCUGCCGGCUCUGGAGUGGCCUCGCUCCGGUGGCUGUCUCGCUCCCUUACAGCCCGAAGAGGGAAAGGUGCUCACAGUCCGGUCUAUGCUCGCAUCUCCCGGCAGCUGCCGCCGCUGCGCUGCGUUCCGCUCCUGCUGCCGGCGCGGCCCGGAGUUCCCACAAGUUUUGGGGAAGUCCUAGCCGGCUCUUUUUCAAUUGCCCGCAAGUUGGACGCAGGCGCCUCCUUCGCACCCUCCCCCUCGCCUCGCCCCCUCCCUCUUUCCCCACCACACCCCCACCCCGAGGCGCAGACACGCCACCGGGAGGAGCCUGAGCUGGGCGAUCACGGCUCAGCCCCUUUCUUCUGGCAGCUGGGCCAGCCUAGGGGCGGCGGAGCCCAGCGGCUGCCGGGAACUCCCGACAGGGGUCGCUGGAAGCUUCGCUGACAAAGUCGCAGCCGCCGCGGGACAGAACAGAGCAGUCUGGAGAGGCCAGGAAGGCAGGAAGGCGACCCUGGUGCUCGCAGUCCCUGGCAGGCUGCGGGGCUGAUCCAAGCCUUGAAAAGGGGGGGGGGGCGGUAGGGGGGCUGCUCGCGCGCGCGCGCGCGCGCGUGUGUGUGUGUGUGUGUGUGUGUGUGUGUUGGGGCGGGGGGAGGGAUGGAGAAAACUUUGCAACCGUAGCACCUGCCCCAUAAUGAAAGCUCUGGAGACCUGGAGCCCCGGUGAGGGGGAAGGAACAGUUGCUAUUUCCCAGAAGGGUUCAGAGUUCAUUUCUCUCUUGCUUUAGGGAAGUUUCCCUCUGGCACUAAGAGCGAAGGUGCAGCCUGGAGUGGAAGGGAAUUUGAGGUACCCAGGAAGGGUUCUGUGAACUUCAAGCAUGGACAGCUUGCACUUCGUACAUCUGCCACUUGAGCAUGUGUCUGCCUUCCCGUGCUAAAUAGCAUGACUGUUGGAUUUCCCAUCUCCAUUAAAAAAAAUACUCUAGCUUCUUCCCAAGCACACGUAUCUCUUACUACAGCUUAAGUUUUAAAAGAACUGAGGAGCCAUAGUUCACCAUAGAGAGUAACAUGUCUACGGUGUGGAUGGGUACAAGUCAGAUGCGCGGGGGGGGGGGGGGGUUGGGGCCGUAGAACUGUAGUGCAGACCCUUAGUUCAGUAAUACCAGCCCCCUCCCACACCCAUUAGACUUUCUGAGAAUUGCUAGUGAAUCCUAGCGUUCCUGGAUCCAGGUGGAGAACUCUAAGGAAUAGUCAGAGACCAGAGUGAUCUGCACCAAGGAGUGAUUCACAAUGGUCUCCACAUAGAGACAGAUGCUGUCAUCAACACACACACAGUUGUGGCCAACUUAGCCUGCUCUUUUACUGAUGGUAUAGAGUUGUGGUCGAGAAACAGCUCGCACCAACGAUCAAUAUUCUACAGCUAUCCCACUUUCAGAGUGAUUUGGCUCCUUCCUUUUCGCUUCCUGGAGUUAAUACUAACAGACCCGUGGCUGUCCACAGCUUUCCCUGUGUUCUCUGGCUGCCACGAUUUAAACAAAGGUGAAAUCCAGAGUACACCUGUCACACAUGGGUGGGAAGGGAAAACGGGGCAAAGAUGUUCAUUUUAAAUCGUCUUAAGAAUCGCUUCCAUCCUACUUUAAUUUUCGUUGGAUUAAGAAUCAAACUCUGUAAGAUAGGUGCAAUUGUUAAGAUAGCUCAACAGUACUAGCAUCAUUCUUUACUCUUAAACCUUUAGUGUCCAGACACCUUUGAUAGCUUUCCAGCAAAUACCACAUAGUGUGGUAUUUGUGCCAAACAGCAGAACCCCAGGAAAGAUUAUGACUCUGUGAAAAGCACUGCAGCCGGCCUGGGCCAUUCAGAGUGAAGGGAAAGUGGCCCCAGAGCCGGCUGGAAUAACUCCACUUUCCCAGGAGGGGCCACUGCUCAGCCAGCUAGGAGUGAGCGGCAGCAAGCCGCUGAAAGCAGAAACCUUUCAUUUCAGAGUGUAUUUAUCUGGAGGAUGUGAGGCAGUUAGAGAGCUCACGAUUACUAACCACAUGUUGUCAAACACCAGCAUUUUAGAAUCAAAGGGCUGAAAACAAGCUUGCAUCUUGGAACUUAAAAAAAAUAAGUGUAAGAUCUUCCCAAAUACUUGGGUAAUCAAAACCCAAGGCUACAGGAACACCAUCUUCUACCUUUUGUUCCCGAGUCUAGAUACGUUACUUCCCAGAACACCUUCAUGGUGGGAGUAUCUCCAGGAGGAUAAAAGGAGUCUACACUUCCUGAAAUUUUCUACUUGAAUAAAACCACUGUGAUAGGUGACAAACCUCCGAACUAUUUUACCAAGAAAAAUGACUGAUGCUCCAGUAACUUCAGAAUAAAGCACCAACAGUGUUCCCAUGGAAACUGUGGGGGUGGGGAAUGGAUGGAUAUGAUUUGGAUGUAAGCAGUAACUAGCAGUACAUGAUUUUUUAAACUUGGUUAGAUGACGAUGGAAGAGGAGAAGUGGGGAGAUGAGUUGUGGUAGUAGGUGCUGAUGGAAAUUUCAAGACACAUGACAGAGUGUCAUUUAAUGGCAAGGCUGCUUCCUAGAACUUUGCCCUGAUUCUGGAAUCCUAUUUUAUUGCCAGUUAAAGCUGAAUUAGCAGGAACUUCUCCACAAAGCCAUUUAUUUUUUAUGUUAUUUUGAGUUGAUUUCUUGAGUAUAUUUUACUACAUGAUUUACAACCAACUGAAAGAUUAACCAAAAAGUCAAUUUCUUCGAUAGUUAAAAUAUUUAUGAGAUUGGUCAAAACUUCAAAAUUGUGCUUAAAUUAUUCAUUUCUGUGGUCAGUAAGUGGCAAAUGUAAUGGUUUUGUGUUUUAAAAAAUACUUUGGAACUGACUUAAGGACUAAAAAAAAAAAGUAUUCUUUUUAAAAACUAUUUAAGCAGGUGUGGAGAUGAUUCAUCUUGUAAUCUCCGAACUUCAGCAGAUGAGGCAAAAGUACCACCAGGGGCCUUAAGGCCAGCCUGAGCUGCAGAAGGAGACCACAAGUAACACAGACCCAAAAUGUUACAAAUAUAACUAGUUAAAUAGAAAAAUAUUAAAUGUUAGCCUUAGUCAAAACAUUUCAAAGUGAAAUAACUUAGUGAAUUUAACAAACUUGUUAUGUUUUGUUCAGCUCCUUGAACAGGUAUCAUGUAUGGCUGGCCAGCUAUCAACUUACACCAAAGUGUCAACAUACAUCAACCGGCAGAAGAAGAGGACAUUAUGAAGUCACCCUGAGAAAUGAAGGUGAGAAGGCGGCUUGCACAGAAUGACAGAAUGUCAAGGUGUUUUCUUUAAAUCGCCUUUGUGAGUUUCACCUGUGUGCUAUGAUUCCUGGCUCUGUCCAUUCCCUUGGUCUAAAUCUACAAACACAGCCUCGUGAGCAGGCUUAAUGACCUCUCCUUGCUCCAAGCCUGGGAUGUACAGCUUCUCUUUCCACCAGCUUACUUCUCACUCCACACAACAGUGGUCUGCCUCCAUCUAAUCACUGAAUCAAGUGACUCUCCCUGGCUGCCUUGGAAACACCUUGGAGUUCAGCUGGAAGUCCUCUUUACAUUCUGCUCUUACCCACUGUCCUUAUGCACACAGCAGAUAAAAAUGGGCUUCUCUGUGCAUUCUUAUAGCUCAGACUCUGUGUGCAUUUAACAAAUAUCCAAGAGAGAAAUCACAUGGCUUGAUGGCUUUUAAACAUCAGCCCACAAGAUCCUCUCCAAGGUUAACAUUUCUUUCCUUUGAAAUACACUUUCCCGUGCCUGGGAAAAGAGUCCUCCCUAUUAAAUUUAUAAUGAUGCU
rnacentral:lncRNA from 1 species